CGUCAUUCUUGUUACACUCACAUCUUCCCUCGCGUCUUCCCUCGCGUCUUCCCUCGCGUCUUCCCUGCCACACUGGCACCAUCACUCCAGGAAUGGCAAUGUUGGGCUGGUCAGUUGGUCCACUUCUUUGUUUUGGACUGAAGUAUCUCAACAACUAUGAGAUGGAUUGCUAUGACAUUUAGUGCAGACGUUCAUGUGCCCCUCAGGAAGAAGUACAUUGGUGAGGAACAAGACAAGACAUGAGGGGAGAGAGAGAGUUGGGGAACGACUACAACAAAGGUCCCCGGCCCGACUCCAACUGCAAUCUCUAUUCUGUUUUGUCUUUCUUAAAAACACUGAGGGCAUUUCUGAGGCCACAUACAGUCCGUCUCUACACUCCCCUGGUGUUUGUGACAUGUCGUGAGGAGUGAAGGAAGCACCAGACGCAGGGUUUGGGAUUGUUGAGACCUGCUAACUGUAUUCUGUCACAGUAACAAUUAUUACCCAAACAAGAGUCUGCCAUUGAAAAUGAAGAUAAUAAUAUAUAGCAGUCAGAAAGGAAUAAGUGAUCAACAUAAAAACGAUCAAAUGAAAUAUUAAGUAAACAGAGAAGCUAAUGCCCUGCUCCACUACAUACAAUUAUUUCCAGCACUUCUACAACAGUAGAAAACACCAACAUUUAAUACUUGCACCCACACAUCGGGAUUAUGCUCAGUGACAGUACGCUUUGUAACCUCCAACUUUAAAAAAAAAUUACUUUACUUUCAUUUCUGCACAGUUAAAGCUGGCAAAGCUUGCAGUCAGGGUUAGGAAAUGAUUUAAUGUGUCUCCCAUUCUGCUUCAAAACAAUGGCACCUCUUCAAAAUCAUUAUUAUAAUUAUUAUUAUCUUUAAAAACAUUAUUUUAUUUUAUAAAUGAAGACAAAUAAUAACCACAUGACAAAAUAUCUGCAAAUAAAAUUGCAGGAGUUUAUGUUCAGUAUAAAAACAAUGAAUACAAAUAAAAACUCCAAGACGAAGCAUUUUAUGUGUGGGCGGCCUAAAAGGGAAUGUAGUACAUCGGGGUAUUGGACAUUCCACAGAUGAAGGGAAAACGCAGUACAAAUGUUCUGACUUAUGUAUGUAUGUAUAUAUAUAUACAUAAUGUUGAGGGAGAGUGGCUGGUUGGCAGACAAUGUGAAUGCAUCUCUGUGUUCUCUUGUACUAUUCAUUAUUUAUUCUCCUUGAUCAAGAUCUAAUAAACUUUCAGUGUAA
ensembl:lncRNA